rnacentral:misc_RNA from 1 species
UCGUGACCCUGACCAAAACAAACCGUGCACGCGUCAUCCAAUCCGUCGACGAUGGGCAUCGUCCAUCGCUCGGCCAUCCUCGGUUACCUACACUCCUCAGAGUGGGGUGAUCGGGGUAAAAGAACCCACGGCGCCGAAGGCGUCAAGGAACACUAUGUCUAACCCGAGGGCAUGGCUAGCUUGCUGGUCAUCUCUUGUGUUGCAAUCGUAUUUAAUC